rnacentral:rRNA from 1 species
GACGAACGCUGGCGGCGUGCUUAACACAUGCAAGUCGAGCGGGGAUAUAGAGCGGAAGGACUUCGGUUUGGAAGGUUUAUAUUCUAGCGGCGGACGGGUGAGUAACGCGUGAGCAAUCUAUCCCAGAGUGUGGAAUAACACGGUGAAAGUCGUGCUAAUACCGCAUAAGCCCCCGGUGUCACAUGGCGCAGAGGGAAAAGGAGCAAUUCGCUUUGGGGUGAGCUCGCGUCUGAUUAGCUAGUUGGUGAGGUAACGGCCCACCAAGGCGACGAUCAGUAGCCGGCCUGAGAGGGCGAUCGGCCACACUGGAACUGAGAGACGGUCCAGACUCCUACGGGAGGCAGCAGUGGGGAAUAUUGGGCAAUGGGGGAAACCCUGACCCAGCAACGCCGCGUGAGGGAAGAAGGCUUUCGGGUCGUAAACCUCUGUCCCACGUGAAGAGGAGAAGACGGUAGCGUGGGAGGAAGCCCCGGCUAACUACGUGCCAGCAGCCGCCGUAAAAC